GACGAACGCUGGCGGCGUGCUUAACACAUGCAAGUCGAACGGAAAGGCCCUGCUUGCCGGGUACUCGAGUGGCGAACGGGUGAGUAACACGUGGGUGAUCUGCCCUGCACUUCGGGAUAAGCCUGGGCAACUGGGUCUAAUACCGGAUAGGAGCCAUUUUUAGUGUGAUGGUUGGAAAGUUUUUUUCGGUGUAGGAUGAGCUCGCGGCCUAUCAGCUUGUUGGUGGGGUAAUGGCCUACCAAGGCGGCGACGGGUAGCCGGCCUGAGAGGGUGGACGGCCACAUUGGGACUGAGAUACGGCCCAGACUCCUACGGGAGGCAGCAGUGGGGAAUAUUGCACAAUGGGCGCCAGCCUGAUGCAGCGACGCCGCGUGGGGGAUGACGGCCUUCGGGUUGUAAACUCCUUUCGCUAGGGACGAAGCUUUUUGUGACGGUACCUAGAUAAGAAGCACCGGCUAACUACGUG
rnacentral:rRNA from 1 species